GAAGACCCGAGCACACCUGAGAGCUCAGUGAAGCAAGUAGUUCUGGCGAAUCGGAUUAAUAUGCCUAGAGACCCCAGGCGCGGGGAAAGUACUCCAGGACCAUCACCGGCCAGGCCACACGACUGCUGGAUCUAAAUUUGGAACCCGACUUUCAAAGCUGAAAUAAACCUGAGGUUUUCCAGAGGCAUUUAACCUCCUUUUACAGCCAAGGAUGCGCCUAAGAAAGGGGAGUGACUUCCUGCAGUAACGCAGCCACUCUGGAGACUGAGACCACAAGGACUUGGGAGUCUAAAAGUCUGCAACCUUUUCCACUCCAAAGCUCGAUGUUUCCUCAAUCCCCCGGGCUCAGCAUCAGCAAAAACCUGGAGAAGCGGAGCCUUUCUCAAUGAAAACGACCACCAGACUCCCGCUACCGACUCCACCAGUGCGCGUAUCACGCACGCGCAGGGCAGGCCGGCCGCACCUCGCCAACUCCUAUUCGGACACGUCAUCUAGGUCGGCCGGGGUCCGGUGGGAGGGGCCAGGGGCGGGGCUCGGACGCGGGGCGGAGGGCCCCCUCACUUCCGGAUCCAGCCUCUCCUGGCCAACGCCUCACUUUGGGUUCCUUGGUUACCUGGCUGCAACGUCUACCCGGUGCCGGGGCGUGGCGGAGAGAGAUUGCCCCGCCCUCCACGCAGGUCACAAAAUGGAGGACCUGCGUUGUGGGCGUUGGUGUCCUGGGUGUUGCCAUGCCGAAAGGCGAAAGUUACAGUGGCCAUUCCAGUUGCAAACUGGAAAGAAAUGGAGUGUUUCCUUCAUUCUCUCCAUGAUCGUGAGGGUCCUUUUCUCAAAAAUAAUUUGGACAACCUUUUCUGAGUUUCCCAUGACUUCUGUGUAA
rnacentral:lncRNA from 1 species